GACAGGUCCAAACAGAACUCGGAACCCUGGAGUCACUGAGCACCACAGUCCAGUGACGGCUGCCUAACAGUCACUUGGCUGGAGAGAGUCAGCAGCAAUCAUGCUGUGCUGCUUUCCCAGGCCUUGAAGCUGCAGCAACAGGACCCUGCGCAGGGAAAGCACUUGGGCGUGAGAGAGAGGAUGGAUCGCUAAGUCCCCGUGCUUCAGGCCACUCACCAGGAACUGCCUGGCCAUCAGGGGCAGCACAGGGCGGGUCUCACCAGACCCGGAGACCUGGGGACCUGAGAUGAGCGGGAGCCCAGGGCAGAUUUCCCUGGACCUGGACACCAGACACUUGGGCCCACCGAGUCCAGGACAGGUCCAGUUAGGCCUGGCCACCACUGUCCUCCUUUUUUGUCCUCCACUUCUUGGUGGAGCUGCACUCCCAGGAGAAUCCACCAGCUGAACUCCUGGCCCAGCUGGAGCAAGCUGAGUCCACUGAGGCACAGCCCACGGGACCAGCUCCAGCCCCAGCUGAAGUCCCACGUGCGGAGCCCGAGCCAGCUCCACCUGCAGCUUCCUGCCCAGGCUGGGACCACAGCCAGAGUCCGUGGCAGCCUCUUCACCUGCUGCAGUGCUGGGGCACCUGGUGGUUGCACGGCGGUUGGUGUCACCUCCUGAGCUCCGCCUGGGGCCAGCUCCUGGCCCCUCCCACUGUUUCCCUCACUUAUGCUGGCUCUUGUUUUGGUAUUUCUUGGAUUUAUAUAAGUAAUAGAACUAGC
rnacentral:lncRNA from 1 species